GUCUUUUUGAUUUUAUAAAAGGUCUGACCUGCCCAAUGAAUUAUUUUUGAAUGGCCGCAGUAUCUUGACUGUGCAAAGGUAGCAUAAUAAUUAGUUUUUUUAUUGAAAGCUGGAAUGAAUGGUUGAACGAGAAAUUUACUGUCUCAAUUUAAUUUUAUAUUGAAUUUUACUUUUAAGUGAAAAAGCUUAAAUUUUUCUAAAAGACGAGAAGACCCUAUAGAGUUUUAUAUAUUUAAUUUUUUAUUAUUUUUGGGAUUAUUUUUUAAUAAUUUAAUUAAUGUAUUUGGUUGGGGUGAUUGGAAGAUUAAUUUAACUCUUUCUUAUUUAGUUUAUAGAUAAAUAGUUGAUUGAUCCAUUAUUAAUGAUUGUAAGAUUAAAUUACCUUAGGGAUAACAGCGUAAUCUUCUUUGAGAGUUCUUAUUGAAAAGAGGGGUUGCGACCUCGAUGUUGGAUUAAAAUUAAUUUCUGGUGCAGAAGCUGGAGCUAUUAAGUCUGUUCGACUUUUAAUUUUUUACA
rnacentral:rRNA from 1 species